rnacentral:rRNA from 1 species
GUCCAUGCCGUAAACGAUGAAAACUUGCUGUUAGGUAUAUAAAUAUAUUUAGUGGCGUAGCUAACGCGUUAAGUUUUCCACCUGGGGAGUACGAUCGCAAGGUUAAAACUCAAAGGAAUUGACGGGGGCCCGCACAAGCGGUGGAGCAUGUGGUUUAAUUCGAUGCUACACGAAAAACCUUACCUACUCUUGAUCUCCAUUACUGAAUAGAGAUAUUUAGGUGCCUUCGGGAAUUGGAUGACAGGUGCUGCAUGGCUGUCGU